rnacentral:rRNA from 1 species
UACGGGGGGGGCAAGCGUUGUUCGGAAUUACUGGGCGUAAAGCGCACGUAGGCGGCUUUGUAAGUUAGAGGUGAAAGCCCGGAGCUCAACUCCGGAAUUGCCUUUAAGACUGCAUCGCUCGAAUCAUGGAGAGGUGAGUGGAAUUCCGAGUGUAGAGGUGAAAUUCGUAGAUAUUCGGAAGAACACCAGUGGCGAAGGCGACUCACUGGACAUGUAUUGACGCUGAGGUGCGAAAGCGUGGGGAGCAAACAGG